rnacentral:rRNA from 1 species
UCGAACGGUAGCACAGAGAGCUUGCUCUCGGGUGACGAGUGGCGGACGGGUGAGUAAUGUCUGGGAAACUGCCUGAUGGAGGGGGAUAACUACUGGAAACGGUAGCUAAUACCGCAUAACGUCGCAAGACCAAAGAGGGGGACCUUCGGGCCUCUUGCCAUCAGAUGUGCCCAGAUGGGAUUAGCUAGUAGGUGGGGUAACGGCUCACCUAGGCGACGAUCCCUAGCUGGUCUGAGAGGAUGACCAGCCACACUGGAACUGAGACACGGUCCAGACUCCUACGGGAGGCAGCAGUGGGGAAUAUUGCACAAUGGGCGCAAGCCUGAUGCAGCCAUGCCGCGUGUAUGAAGAAGGCCUUCGGGUUGUAAAGUACUUUCAGCGGGGAGGAAGGUGUUGUGGUUAAUAACCGCAGCAAUUGACGUUACCCGCAGAAGAAGCACCGGCUAACUCCGUGCCAGCAGCCGCGGUAAUACGGAGGGUGCAAGCGUUAAUCGGAAUUACUGGGCGUAAAGCGCACGCAGGCGGUCUGUCAAGUCGGAUGUGAAAUCCCCGGGCUCAACCUGGGAACUGCAUUCGAAACUGGCAGGCUAGAGUCUUGUAGAGGGGGGUAGAAUUCCAGGUGUAGCGGUGAAAUGCGUAGAGAUCUGGAGGAAUACCGGUGGCGAAGGCG